CACAACACACACCACACACACACAACACACACCUCUUUCUACAGAUAGUUGUACACUGGGCAGAAGUAACCUACUGGGAAACUGAGUGGCAAUGUGAUGACUAUAAGGGCAGAGAGUGACAUUGUCAUGGUUCUUUCCAAAGCUUAGGGCACAGACAGGAGCCAAGAUUCCAUGACCCUCUCUGAGGAGCGGGUAUAAGCAAGUCACAGCAGGUCCUCCCUGGUUUGAGGAGAGGCAUGGGGGCUAGACUGGAUGGCACGGGACCCGGACUGCUUCUAGAACACAUGGCAGCAGGUGCCCACAGUGACAAGGACAGUGAGCCACCUUCCCAUGGGCUAUGAACAGCAAUGCCCAGAGCUGUGUUGAUGUUGUUCUGUUUUUCUGUGUUGCUUUUGUUCCCAGGGAGGUGUUUGGUGUGCUUGAACAAGAUGGCUUCAGGCACUUAUAGGCCAGGCAUCUCCAGAUCCUCUGGGGAGAUGCCACUUUCUUCCCCAGGCCUCAUAGCUGAAACCUCUGGCAGGUCUCUGCACUGGAUUAUAUGCCAUGACAUAGACUCUUCACUGGGAAAGGGGAGUUCAGGACUGGCACAGACCCGUCUUAAAGGAAGAGGGGGCGGCUAAAGCAGGAAGACAUCCCAUGUUCACCUCCUAUCUGUAUCCCAGAUCUAAAUCUGACAGGACGCCACAUCUGAGGAGGCAUUCAGGAGAUCUUCGUGUAGUCUAGGGACAGCUCUACAUUCCUGAAUUCAGUGUGCUCACAUCCAGCCAGUAUCCCUUCCCUUCCUGCUGCUGCCUCUCCCCCGUGGAUAAGGCAUCUUGCGUCUUCUGUCGACAGUAACUCCUCAGGCAGGCCAGUGUUUACAGACAGACAACCUUGAAUACUAGACAUCAUGUUCGUCUUCAAUGUCUUCACUAAUGGGGAAAGCAUCAGUAGCUUUUGAACGUUGGUAUGAAAUGCCGGGAUUUCUCACUUCAGGAGAAUGAAUCCGGAAGUAGGCACAGGAUGAAUGGAGAGAGCAGGAAACAAGAUAGGAGAAGCCAGCACUGUCUGGCCAGGGCUUACUGAUGAAUGUGGUCAGAGCUGAGAAGGAGAGCUGAGGACUCUCUGGGCAGUGCCAUCCUUCAGGACUUGGGAUUUGAUGAUGGGGCUCAACAAAAAGGGAGAGGAGCUUUUAAAAUCCCAACCCUUCAACUUCAGAACUGACCAAGAAGGAGGAAGACUGGGUUCAGCCCAUUACAGGGCUUUAAAAUGUGGGAGGAUCAAGAACCCAGUGGUGGAGCAGACAGAGCUGGAGAGAGAGUGUUGAGAACAAAGCUACUGUGAAAACAUUGCAACAGGGGAUUCUGUCAAAUACUGGAGGAGAGAAGGGUGCUCCCUAGUCACGCUAAAGCUUAAAAGUGAACCCCGACUCUCUCCUGCACCUUUCCCCUGCGUUUCAUCUUUCACCUCGGAUGUUAGCUUGAUGCUGGCCACUACCACCAUUUCUUGGUCUUUACCUUACUGCAGACUGUGCAUUGUCUCCCCGAAUGUCACACACAGUCUGUGCCUCCACUCCUGCCACCCAGAACUGUCCUCACAUGGCAAGGGCAAGAGGAAGGUUUUCUGUAAGUAUUUAUGUUUCUUUAAAAACCCUCUUGAUGGCUCACGCCCGGAUGAAACUGAGACCCCGGCAUCGUCUUCCUGUUAGUAAGGCCUCAAAGACUCCUGCUUUGCCUCUGUCUCAAGCCUCGGCUGUUUGUCGCCGUCCCGUUUCAGUCACCACGUGGUCCAUCACACUUUUAGCCCCGUGGCCAUGCGGAGUUCUGCAUCACCUCUGCUGAACUUCCUUCCUGCGCGACCUCUUCUUCCUCUCUGGCCUCCUGUUUCUCCAGUUUAGUCUUCUGCUCUUCAUUCUCCCGCCCGUCCCCAACCCCAAACAACCUACGGUGAUUGUGAUGGCUCAAGAACCAUCCUGCAACAACUCAGGCAUGCUUGCCCACUCUCCCUCUCCUACACAGAAGCAAGACACUGAACAAGGGACCAAGGAGCAAGUCUCGCGAGACUUCCGUGGACCCAACUUACACUGAGAUUUUGUCCUGCCAGGGAAUAUGGGGAAGGGAGAACGGCGCUCUCAUCAUGCUAACACUUAGGGGUGGACCCUGACUCAAUAUACUUCCUUUUAAAAUGUGUCCCAAUUUAAAAGGAUAGACUCUCAUCGGUUACUUUCCUCAGUGCUGUGACGGGUGACUUAAGGAUGGGAGGGUUGACUCACGAUCUGAGUGAGACAGUACUUCGUGGCAUCCAAACGGGGCCUCAGAUGCUCACAUCUGACGUCAGGAGGCAGAGAGAGAUGAAUGUUGGGGCGCAGCCGACUUUCUACUUCUUAUUCAGUCCAGCAGUACGAUGCUACCCGUGCUCGGGGUAGUUCUUCCACCUUUGGUUAAACCCUUCUGGAAACUCUCUCACAGCCACACUUAGAGGUACCCUUCUUGGAGGCCUGAAGAUGGUGUUCCCUAAUGGUCGAGUUACAGAUAAUUGAGCCUCGAGGAUACAUCAGCUGUGGGAAACAGAGAAUGCCUGUGUCACUCCUGUGUCGUGAUGGUGAAACUGAGGCACAAAGCCUUCUGGGGAUGUGAAUGGGCAUCAACACUAGAGUCAAGGUGAGAAACAGGAAAAUGCUAGCAGGAAUAUUUGCUGGAAUCACAGACUCCUGCAGCUUCCCAAGGAUUUCCUCUUUCAAAUGGAGAUGAAACUCCUCCUACCCUCUUCAGCCCUGAAGCAAACUGGUCAGUAAGCAUCUACAGGCUUUCUUCAGCACUGGGUAAAUGAGUUCUGGGUGGUUCCUCCUGAGAGCCCUCCUCCUCGGGCAGUUGUUCUAAUGGUCAGGCUACCUGUGCCACACCACUUUUAAUAAAACAUCUUGCCUUAUCCUGUGCAAACAGGCACAGUCGGCAGCGAACUUCACAUCGUGGUGUCAUUUAGAAAAGCAAAUAACAGAUUUUUUUUUCCUUCAA
rnacentral:sRNA from 1 species